GUUUCGCUGCCUAUUUUUCGCUUAUCUUUGGUAUUUGCUGUGCUUCGUUCCCGCACAGAGUUUGGCGGUUAUUUUAACACAAAGGAAGUUUGGCAGCGUGGCAAGAAUCUUGAUGCCAGAAGUGUGUACCGGCGCUUGCAAGAGGGUGGCGUCUCAGUCGGCAGUUGUUUCCCUUGGAGCCUCUUGACGUUUUCCGCCGCUCAUCGCGAACAGUAACUGUGAUGCCAGCGUAGCGUAGCAAAGGCUCAGAUAAACGACCAGUCUGCACGACAGCCGUUGACAGAAUGGCAGCCCCGCAUAUUAUUCAGGGUUUUAUCUGGAAGGCCACUACCACUUGGGUGACGUUACUGCAGAUGUGCGG